GAGGGUAUAGCUCAGUGGUAGAGUGUCUGCUUAUUAUGUACAAGGUCCUGGGUUCAAUCCUCAGUACCUCCA